rnacentral:rRNA from 1 species
UACGCAGGGUGCGAGCGUUGUCCGGAAUUACUGGGCGUAAAGAGCUCGUAGGUGGUUUGUCGCGUCGUCUGUGAAAUUCCGGGGCUUAACUUCGGGCGUGCAGGCGAUACGGGCAAUACUUGAGUGCUGUAGGGGAGACUGGAAUUCCUGGUGUAGCGGUGGAAUGCGCAGAUAUCAGGAGGAACACCGAUGGCGAAGGCAGGUCUCUGGGCAGUAACUGACGCUGAGGAGCGAAAGCAUGGGUAGCGAACAGGAUUA